UACGAAGGGUGCAAGCGUUACUCGGAAUUACUGGGCGUAAAGCGUGCGUAGGUGGUUCGUUAAGUCUGUCGUGAAAGCCCCGGGCUCAACCUGGGAAUGGCGAUGGAUACUGGCGGGCUAGAGUGCGGUAGAGGAGAGUGGAAUUCCCGGUGUAGCAGUGAAAUGCGUAGAGAUCGGGAGGAACAUCAGUUGCGAAGGCGGCUCUCUGGACCAGCACUGACACUGAGGCACGAAAGCGUGGGGGGCAAACGGG
rnacentral:rRNA from 1 species